AACUCUGCUUUGUAGGCAACAAAAACACCUAUUGAAUUCUUGUUAUCCUUGGAUUAAUGUAGAUUUUAUAAAUUGAGGAGGAAGCGGUGUUCUCUUAGGGUCACUGAGCAGGCCAUGGAGGAGGCAUAUUCCCUCUCUCUGCUUCUCUGUUUCAACAUUGAACUAAUCAGAAGCAGAUAAGGGAAGGAUGGUUGAAGAUUAGCAGCUAACGUUGAAUAAAAUGUCUUGAGGUUUUUAACCAGUAUCCCUUAUUUACAUGUUCACGAUCCUUCACUAUUGCUGAAAAUCAUCUUCCAGUUAGGGUUUGAAAUCUCCUUGAAUAUCAUUGCUGAGACAAAAUUUCAGGCAUUUGGGGUUUUGUAAGUGACAAAAAUUUUUGUUCCUUUAGAGAACAACUUAAGGACUGCUGAAAAGAAAGACUGAUCUGGGCAGUUUCAUUGUGGCUCAGCAGGUGAAAAACCCAACACAGUGUCCAUGAUGAUGCAGCUUCUAUCUCUGGCUUCACUCAAUGGGUUAAGGAUCCUCACUAAGUGGGUUGCCACAGCUGGGUCACAGGCCUGCAACUGCAGCUUCAAUUCGACCCCUAGUUCAGGAACUUCCACAUGCCUCAGGUGUGGCAGUUAAAAAAAAAAAAAAGAAAAAAAGCUGAUCUGGGACCAAGUAUGAUUAUUGUUAAUAUUUUUCAAGAGUUGAUUAUUGAUUUUGUCAAUUUUUUUUUUUUUUGUCUUUUCUAGGGCCACACCCGUGGCAUAUGGAGGUUUCCAGGCUAGGGGUCUAAUCAGAGCUGUAGCUGCUGGCCUAUGCCAGGGCCGCAGCAACACAGGAUCCAAGCUGCAUCUGGGACCUACACCACAGCUCAUGGCAACGCUGGAUCCUUAACCCACUGAGCGAGGCCAGGAAUCGAACCUGCAAUCUCAUGGUUCCUAGUUGGAUUCGUUAACCACUGAGCCACGAUGGGAAUGCCAAGAGAUGAUUAUUGAAUAUGUUACUAAGUAAGAAUAAUAAGGAUGAUAAUAGAUUUGUUGAGCACUUACUAUGUGCCAUACCCAGUGCAGAACAACUUCACAUCAUUGAUCUUUUUUAUUCUCACAACCCUCCUAUGUAGUAAGCAUUGUUGCACCCACUUUAUUGAAAGUUGAGGCUCAGAGAAAGCAAAGAAAGAGCAUAUAUCAGGUAUUUUAUAAUUUGAUUUUGUUAGGUAAGUUUCAUUACCUUCCAUUUCCUGGACGAGAAAACAGACUGCAAAAGACUCAGGGAACAAACGCUUAUUAAAUAACCGAAUAUCAGUCAUUUUAUUAAAUGCAUUUCCAUUUGUUUGACUUCAUAGCCUCAUGACAACCCUGCCAGAUUAGGUACCAUCAUCUUUACAUUACAAAUGAGAAUACCGAGGCUCAGGGACGUUAAGUAAUUCCUUCAAACUCAUGUAUGCAGUGAACAAAUACGAAACAGAACUGGGAGUCAAAAGCAGUCGCAUCUUUCCUUAACCUCAAAGAUAGGGUGUUCUCUCUCUGACACAAUUUGUCCAAGUCACAAAGUCAGAAGUAAGUUUCUGCCUCAAAGUUUGGCUCUUCUUUCUGCUACAUCCUGCUGCUGGUUUCAUUUUGUUUCAUCAUGUCCUCUGCAAAGGUAGAGAAAACAGGUCAAGGGUUUGCAGUUGAUGAGACAUUUCCAAAUCCAUGUGAUCAAGCGACCUGGUAUACUCUUUGUUGCUAGACUAAAUACCAUGAUAGCAAAUCCUUCAACCUUUGUUUAUUAAUAUCAUGUUUUCAGCUUCUCAUAUUUUUUCUUGGCCUUUUUUUAAUUGUGAUAAGGUGAAACAUAUGACAUAAAAUCUACUAGUGUAACCACUUGACGUGUACAGUAGUGUUAGGUAUAUUCGUAUUGUCGUGAAACAGAUCUCCAGAACUUUUUCAUCAUGUGAUACUGAAAAUCUACACCCAUUAAACUCUAAUUUUGUCCCCAAGCCCUUGGUUGCCACCCUUCUACUUUCAGUUUCUAUGGAUUUGACUCAAAAUCUUGCGUAAGUGAAGUCAUAUAGUAUUUAUAUUUUUGUGACUGGCUUAUUUCAUUUAGCAUAAUGCAUAAUGUCCUCAAGGUUUAUCCAUGUUGUAAUAUGUGACAGGAGUUCCUCCCUUUUUAAGGCUACUUAUCCUUUAACUUUUUCCACCUCCUGUUGCUGUUAAAGAAAAUAGCAUAAACUGGUCUAUGAGGAUGUUUCCUGAUAUAGAUGUCCUACAAUCUUCUUAAAGGUAAGAGUGUUGCCCUGAAGAAUGAAAUAUGGGUAAGGAGCUCCCACUGUGGUGCAAUAGGAUCAGUUGCAUCUUGGGAAUGCUGGGACGUGGGUUUGAUUGAUCCCCAGCCUGUCACAGUGGGUUAAGGAUUUGGCAUUGCCACAGCUGCAGCUUAGUUCGUGGCUGCAGAUCAGAUCUGAUCCCUGGUCUUGGAGCUUCAUGUGCUGCAGGGUGGCCCCCCAAAAAUAAGUAAAUAAAAUAAAAUAAAAUAAAAUAAAAUAAAGAAAUGAAAUAUGGGUGAAAGAAUAUUACCUAAUUCUGUAUUUAUUACACUCUAUGAUUUGAAGUCAUACUGGGCAGAUAGGGAAAUUUCAUAAAACCCUGAAGGACUGAAUUUUGCCUGUAUAGCUAUACCUACAAUAUAAAGAAGUAUACUUCCAAGGAAUUUCACUAAAAAGAAUUUUAACCUCUGUUUUGAAGGGUGAGCUUGCAUCUUUGUGCUUGGAGCCUAGUGUUUCUUUCUCUUUCCUUUUUAUAUAGCACAUGGAAAAUAGAUUCCCUGAGAGAUUUUAAGACUUGGUCUUUAAAUAUGUGCUCAGAACAACCAAAGUACUACAUUUGUGUCUAUUUUUCCUAAGCAUAGGAGUCACCAUAUCUUUAAUAAAAUUUUGUUAAUGAUUGCUUGAACAGGAAAGCUGUUUUAUCUGCAGGAUUUUAGUGUACCGCUUGGACAAAAACUGAUAUUCCUGCAAAGUAUGUUUGUCGUCUAUUUUGUUUCUUUUCUAUUUGUGUUUUGAGAUACCUUUUCAACUUCCUCUGGAGAAUUUAUACCCCUCUAAUCAAUAGAAAAGGCGGUCUAUUUUUAACCAUGAAAAAGAAACAACCACUUGCUGAAUAAUUGUGUGUGGCUUGGGGGUAAGGCACAGUCCCUGAAUUUCGAGGGCAUCUGUCCCCAAGAAAAGAGCCACCAGCAGAUGGCAAUCCCCCUACAUGGAAUCGCCUUCCAGACAAAUGGCAAAUACCUCAGUAAACUGAUACCUUGUGAAGUCACAUGCCAUUUCAGAGAAACCUGAUAGCUUUGGCUGGGUAGGAACCCAUUUAACAUUAUCUCUCAGUUAUUAUCUCCUCUCUUGGUUCCUUCUGAUAGCUCCCCAACUCAGCGUUUUGUGUACACCCUCCCAAAGGUCAAGCAUGGCUACUAGGGUGGGUGCUUUGAAUGUGGUCCCUGGGUUUGGUGUUAGGAACGGGUGUUUUUAACAAGCAACUUCUGACUGUUCUCCACAGCGACCUUGAUGGAGCUAUUUGCUCUACUCACCUCUGUGAGCUCCUGGCCUUGGUGAACCCAUUUUUGGGAUGCUAAGUGUUGAAUUACAGGAACCUACGAGCAAACCUUGAGGCAGAGUAUGUUGUUGAUGUCUUAUUUAGAUAAAAAUGGGGGCUUUCUCCCCAACAAAAAAGCUGUGAUUUUGAAUUGGAUUUGUAGGUUUACCUCUUCUCUUUGCCCUUCCUUUUCUCUGUGGACUGAGCUUAAUGAUAAGCUUCUGCAAUAAAUCUGCACUCUUUUACUUUCAAAAAUCCAUCUGUACUGUACUGUAACCUUCCAGAAACUGGUUGAGAUAUGGAAACUUUAGAAAUUCGAGGCCUAUGGCUAAUACUUUGUUUUUAUUUCUAUACAUGUUUUUUGACGUUAUUUUAUUUUUAACUUAAUGAAUUUUAUUACCUUUAUAGUUGUACAACGAUCAUACAACUUAAUAUGCAUGUUUUAAGACUUAUUCUCUUUGCAGGAAAUUUUCUCUGAUCUUACACUUUAUUUAUUUUUUUGUCUUUUGUCCUUUUAGGGCCACACCCAUGGCAUAUGGAGAUUCCCAGGCUAGGGGUCUAAUUGGAGCUGUUGCUGCCAGCCUACGCCAUAGCCACAGCAACAUCAGAUCUGAGCCGCAUCUGUGAUCUACACCACAGCUCACAGCAACGCCGGAUCCUUAACCCACUGAGUGGGGCCAGGGAUUGAACCCACAACCUCAUGGUUCCUAGUUGGAUUCGUUUCCACUGGGCCAAGAACUCCUGAUCUUAUACUUUUUCACUAAUAGAUACAUAUGAAGGUGCUUUUGGAUGCAAGAGAAAACCCAUCUCAAAUUGGUUUAAAUAAUAAGGAUGUUAUUUUCUAUAAUAGAAAAUCCUGAGGGAGGGGGAGGAAGUGGGAUGGACUGGGAAUUUGGGGUUAAUAGAUGCAAACCAUUGCCUUUGGUAUGGAUAAGCAAUGAGAUCCUCCUGUGUAGCCCUGGGAACUAUAUCUGGUCACUUAUGAUGGAGCAUGAUAAUGUGAGAAAAUAGAAUGUAUACAUGUAUAUGUGACUGGGUCACCUUGCUGUACAGUAGAAAAUUGUCAGAACACUGUAAACCA
rnacentral:lncRNA from 1 species